rnacentral:rRNA from 1 species
CCCUUUGGCCUGGAAUAACACGAGGAAACUUGUGCUAAUACCGGAUAAGUCUUUACGGAGAAAGCUUUAUGCACCAUUGGAUGAGCCUGCACUUGAUUAGUUUGUUGGUGGGGUAAUGGCCUACCAAGACUUUGAUCAAUAGCUGAUUUGAGAGGAUGAUCAGCCACAUUGGGACUGAGACACGGCCCAAACUCCUACGGGAGGCAGCAGUGGGGAAUCUUGCACAAUGGAGGAAACUCUGAUGCAGCGAUGCCGCGUGAGUGAAGAAGGCCUUUGGGUUGUAAAGCUCUUUCGUCGGGGAAGAAAAUGACUGUACCCGAAUAAGAAGGUCCGGCUAACUUCGUGCCAGCAGCCGCGGUAAUACGAAGGGACCUAGCGUAGUUCGGAAUUACUGGGCUUAAAGAGUUCGUAGGUGGUUGAAAAAGUUGGUGGUGAAAUCCCAGAGCUUAACUCUGGAACUGCCAUCAAAACUUUUCAGCUAGAGUUUGAUAGAGGAAAGCAGAAUUUCUAGUGUAGAGGUGAAAUUCGUAGAUAUUAGAAAGAAUACCAAUUGCGAAGGCAGCUUUCUGGAUCAUUACUGACACUGAGGAACGAAAGCAUGGGUAGCGAAGAGGAUUAGAUACCCUCGUAGUCCAUGCCGUAACGAUGUGUGUUAGACGUUGGAAAUUUAUUUUCAGUGU